rnacentral:rRNA from 1 species
UACAGAGACUGCAAGCGUUAUUCGGAUUCACUGGGCGUAAAGGGUGCGCAGGCGGCCGGGUGUGUCAGAUGUGAAAUCCCGAGGCUUAACCCCGGAACUGCGUCUGAAACUACUCGGCUAGAGUACUGGAGAGGGUAACGGAAUUCACGGUGUAGCAGUGAAAUGCGUAGAUAUCGUGAGGAACACCAGAGGCGAAGGCGGUUACCUGGACAGUUACUGACGCUCAGGCACGAAAGCAUGGGGAGCAAAAGGG